UCCAGUACCACCGUGACCAUGCCCGAUCUCAUCUGAUCUCGGAAGCUGAGCAGGGUCGGGCCUGGUUAGUACUUGGAUGGGACAACUGUGAGAAUUUAUGCAGAGGUAAGAC
ensembl:rRNA 5S_rRNA 5S ribosomal RNA